GGGGGCUGUGACAUUGUCAGAUACCUUGGUGCUGCUUCUCUUUGCCUCGCUCAGCAGCGUGCAGUGUGUGCCAACCUCUCAUUCCCUGCACGCCAUCAAGCCUUAGUUUAUCGCCUUUGCUCUAGCGGACUUAUUCAGAAAAGCAGAUCCCAAAUGGACUGGAAACCUAAAUUUAAAGCAUAAAAUAAUGAAAAUAACAGAAGAAAAUAUAGAAAGGUUUUUGUAUAAUCUCAAUCUGGCUAGACCUGAAAGACGCAGCAAGACAAGAAACAGCCAUAAAAGAAAAGCCUGAAAAGUAUAAAGACUAUAGAAGACACACAAAAAAGUUAAUGUCUUUUUUUUUUUUUUUGUCUUUUUCAUUUUUAUCGGUACCAGGGAUCGAGCUCAUGACUGCCUGCUUGCAAGGCAGGUGCUUAUGCCACUGAACUAAAUCCCCAGCCCCCAAAAGUUAAUGUCUUUAAAAUAUGAAAAAUGUGAGUUCUGGGAGAACAUGGCGGAUAGAUAGCAGCAGCUUUGGAGGCUCUCUGAGAUACCCCACUUAAAAUCCAGGAAUGGUGCCGGGUGAGAAGUCCUAAGCAAGGAGAGAUGUACUUUGCCAACCCAGGAACGAACUAAGUUAAGAGAAACGAACUGGAAACGUAAUCCCGGUGAUAUAACAGGAACAGAUAAGGUCUCAGCGAGUAAGCCAGACCCCGCACUACUGGAAGCCGCCAUUUGAAUUUCCUGCAGCCGCUGCUGCAUCCCAAUCAGCAUGGCAAGGAGAGAGGCGCAAAAGCUCUGAGAGUGGGAAGUGGUGAAUGGAGUUGAGAGCGGGACUGGCCGGGAGCCCUGCAUUAACCUGUGGUGAGUGAACAGAUCGGGGACCCUUCCAUAGAGUAGGAGGCUUCAGAAAAGGACAUAAUGGGACCAGGCAGACUAGCUGGCACAGGGCACUACAGUGACUUCAGUCACAUAUUCCCCUCUCAAGCGGGAUUGGUGGGGAGUGCCUGGCUUGGGUGACGCCGCUGACUAAGGCCAAGUAAGCUAGCCCAAACCAUGUCCCACUGCCUGGAGGUGCACCCUAGCGUGAAGCCUUCGGUACGUUGACCUGGAGGGGUGGGCCCAGCAUAGGCUACCCAGGUCUGUGUUUCCAUAGUACACUGCAGUGGGCAGGAACACCUAGCCGGCGCAAUUCAACAAACUGUAACCGACAAAGAAAGAAACUGGGCCUCCUAUAUAUGCUUGUAUAAAAGGAACAAAAAAUAUGGGAAGAGGGAGCAACAAGAAAGGGUCCUCGGCCCAAUCCUGAGAAACACGCAAUAUCAGACACGGCACCAAUAGACAUAAAGCGCUAUCUCCAGAGCCUCAUAGACGAGUUCAGGAAUGAAGUUAUUAAUGACCUGAAGCAAGAUAUAAGUAGAAUAGUUAGAGAAAUGCUAAGCACCACCCAAGAAAAAACAGAUGGUGAAAUGGAAGAACAGAAAAAAAGGGAACAAUUGUUUGAUGGAGAAAAUAGAGAAAACAUAGAAUAUGUGAAGCAGGUUCAAAGAGAUUACCAGGAAACUAAAAACUCUAUCAAAAACUGGCAUAACAGCUUGAAAGAAAUUAAGGAUAGAUUAUCUGAGUUGGAGGGCAGAUUUGUAAUAUGGAAGCAUGAAAUGAAAAACUUCUUAAAAAUAACAAAAAAACAAACAGCAAUAAUACAAAGGCUAGAAGAUGAUAAGAAGACCCAUAACUUAAGAAUUAAGAACAUAAAAGAAGAAGUAGGGACACAAACAAAUGGACUACAAAAGCUAUUCACAGAAAUAAUCCAAGAGAAUUUCCCUAAUUUAGCAAAUGGUAAAGAUACUCAGAGGUAUGAGGCAUAUAGGACCCCAGCCACCUACAACCCAAACAGAGCUACACCCAGGCAUACAAUAAUCAAAAUUCCAGAAAUCCAAUAUAAGAACAGAAUACUACAAGCCAUCAGAGACAAGAAACAGAUCACUUACAAGGGAACACCCAUCAGAAUUACAGCAGACUUCUCGGCACAAACCAUCAAAUCAUGAAGAGUGUGGGAGGAAAUAAUUCAAGCUUUGAAAGAUAAUAACUUCCAGCCAAGAUUGGUAUAUCCUGAACAACAGUCCCUAAAAAUUGAUGGAAAAACAAGGUGCUUCCAGGAUAAAGAGGAACUAGAGGAAUUUGCAACCAGCAAUUCAACUCUACAGAGAAUACUGCAGGAUAUUCUAAAAAGGAAAAUACCAAGAUUCCAGAAAUAGUGGCAGAGAGGCCACAAUGAAUGGAGCAGAAAGCGAAAUGAAGACAAACUGACAAUAAACAACAGAAAAAGAGCUCAACAGAAAUGAGGCAGAGAAGGUUAGAUGGUAGGAACAGCUAUUUUGGAGAAAACAAGACAUCAUAAUAGCUAGUGCUGAUUUAGUAUCAUCUUGUUUUGAAGUCCCAUCAAACUUGUAUUCUUGGGCUGGGGAUUUAGCUCAGCAGCAUAAGUGCCUGCCUUGCAAGCAGGCAGUCGUGAAUUCGAUCCCUGGUACUGAUAAAAAUGAAAAAGACCAAAAAAAAAUUAGUAAAAAAAAAACUUGUAUUCUUCUGCCUCCAUCGGUCUUAAAAGGUUGUAUCUUACUGGAGUUUACUAUAUAUGAUAAUAUAAGCAAAAACUUUUAUAGACAAGGAGAUUAUACAGAAACUAUUGUUCAUUUUCUGUUAAUUGGUUCUAAAUACCCUGUAAUAAUGUCAUUCUCUUGAAUGGUUUUUAGUGUCUUGAUAUGUUUGGUGCUAUAGUAUACGAAGUUAUACUCAAAGAUUUCAAGGAAAGAGACACUGUGGUAACUAUUUUUAUGUCAGGCUAUCUUGUGGUGAAACACUAUUUUGCUUAAAUGGUUAUGUUUUGACCUGCGCUGUUCUGUUGUUAUGCCCUCUUUUAUCUAAUCCCCCCUUUUUAAAAAAUUAUUUACUUUUUUAUUUUAUCUUUUUAAUUAAGGGAAAAUAAAAAAUAGCAGGAUAUAUUAUAGUAACCUACUUUGAUUUCCUAUUAACUUGAUUUGAAAUCCUGUAUUGCCCUCACCAUUUUAUUUUGACUGAUUUUCCCCUAUCCUGCUUUGCUUGAUAGUACCAAGUUUGAAAGUAUAGGCAACAACUGUGAAGACAAUAAAAUUCAAUAUGACGCCCA